rnacentral:rRNA from 1 species
GAUGAACGCUGGCGGCGUGCUUAACACAUGCAAGUCGAACGGUGAAGCAGGAGCUUGCUCCUGUGGAUCAGUGGCGAACGGGUGAGUAACACGUGAGCAAUCUGCCCUGGACUCUGGAAUAAGCGUUGGAAACGACGUCUAAUACCGGAGACGAGGCGUGGGGGCAUCCCCAACGCCUGGAAAGAACUUCGGUCCAGGCGGAGCUCGCGGCCUAUCAGGUAGUUGGUGAGGUAACGGCUCACCAAGCCUACGACGGGUAGCCGGCCUGAGAGGGUGACCGGCCACACUGGGACUGAGACACGGCCCAGACUCCUACGGGAGGCAGCAGUGGGGAAUAUUGCACAAUGGGCGAAAGCCUGAUGCAGCAACGCCGCGUGAGGGACGACGGCCUUCGGGUUGUAAACCUCUUUUAGCAGGGAAGAAGCGAAAGUGACGGUACCUGCAGAAAAAGCACCGGCUAACUACGUGCCAGCCGCCGCCGUAA